rnacentral:rRNA from 1 species
AUUGAACGCUGGCGGCAGGCUUAACACAUGCAAGUCGAGCGGAGUGAUGGUGCUUGCACUAUCACUUAGCGGCGGACGGGUGAGUAAUGCUUAGGAAUCUGCCAUUUAGUGGGGGACAACAUUCCGAAAGGAAUGCUAAUACCGCAUACGUCCUACGGGAGAAAGCAGGGGAUCUUCGGACCUUGCGCUAAAUGAUGAGCCUAAGUCGGAUUAGCUAGUUGGUGGGGUAAAGGCCUACCAAGGCGACGAUCUGUAGCGGGUCUGAGAGGAUGAUCCGCCACACGGGGACUGGGACACGGCCCAGACUCCUACGGGAGGCAGCAGUGGGGAAUAUUGGACAAUGGGCGGAAGCCUGAUCCAGCCAUGCCGCGUGUGUGAAGAAGGCCUUUUGGUUGUAAAGCACUUUAAGCGAGGGGGAGGCUACUAGUACUAAUACUACUGGAUAGUGGACGUUACUCGCAGAAUAAGCACCGGCUAACUCUGUGCCAGCCGCCGCCGUAACAC